UGGGGAAUAUUGCACAAUGGGCGCAAGCCUGAUGCAGCCAUGCCGCGUGUAUGAAGAAGGCCUUCGGGUUGUAAAGUACUUUCAGCGGGGAGGAAGGUGUUGAGGCUAAUAACCUCAGCAAUUGACGUUACCAGCAGAAGAAGCACCGGCUAACUCCGUGCCAGCAGCCGCGGUAAUACGGAGGGUGCAGGCGUUAAUCGGAAUUACUGGGCGUAAAGCGCACGCAGGCGGUCUGUCAAGUCGGAUGUGAAAUCCCCGGGCUCAACCUGGGAACUGCAUUCGAAACUGGCAGGCUAGAGUCUUGUAGAGGGGGGUAGAAUUCCAGGUGUAGCGGUGAAAUGCGUAGAGAUCUGGAGGAAUACCGGUGGCGAAGGCGGCCCCCUGGACAAAGACUGACGCUCAGGUGCGAAAGCGUGGGGAGCAAACA
rnacentral:rRNA from 1 species